AUGGCUCAUCGUGGACACCUAGAUGGACUAAUGCGCCAUGGUGCAUUCUCUGGAGCCGGCCUCUCUGGCCGCCAGCCUUUGGAGCCUUCUCCUGCCACCAUACUGGAGAUCCUGGAAAACAAGCUUGCCGUGCAGACCGCAGAGGCAGAAAAACUUAUCCGAGAAAAUCAGCGAUUGGCAGAUAGCCAUGCAGCCUUGAGAAAGGAUAUUAUUGACACUGAGACAGAAAUGCAAAUGAUUCGCACCCACCUAGGUGAUGUCCAGGUAGAGACUGAUAUGCACAUGAGAGAUUUGGUGGAGAGAAUCAGAUUAAUGGAGGCAGACAUACAGGCUGGUGACGCAGUGAAGAAGGAACUUCACCAAGUGCAUAUGGAGGCAAAGCGACUUAUUACUGAAAGGCAGAUGCUUACUAAUGACUUAGAGGCUGCGACUAAAGAACUACAGAAGUACUCUGGUGACAAUAGUAACCUUACUGAAUUGGUUGCGGAACUAGAUGGUCUACGGAAAGAGCAUCACAGUCUAAGAUCUGCCUUCGAGUAUGAGAAAAACACAAACAUCAAGCAAGUUGAGCAGAUGCGGACGAUGGAAAUGAACUUGAUAACCAUGACUAAAGAGGCGGACAAGUUACGAGCUGAUUUGGCAAAUGCUGCAAACAGAGCACAUGCAGCACAGGUUACACCUCCACAGCCUGGGACAGGACAAGCUGCAGCGGCUUCAGCAGCCACAAAUCCAUAUGCAAGUGCAUAUACCAGUCACCCCUCCGCAUAUCAGCAAGGAACUUCCCAAGCCGCGGCAUACCAGCAGGGAACUGCCCAAGCCGCGGCAUACCAGCAAGGAACUCCCCAACCCGCGGCAUACCAGCAAGGAACCCCCCAAUCCGCGGCAUACCAGCAAGGAGCCCCCCAAUCCGCGGCAUACCAGCAAGGAGCCCCCCAAUCCGCAGCAUAUCAGCAAGGAGCCCCCCAAGCUGGAGCAUAUCAGCAAGGAGCCCCCCAAGCUGGAGCAUAUCAGCAAGGAGCCCCCCAAGCUGGAGCAUAUCAACAAGGGACAUACGGUUACCCAACAGCCUAUGAUUCUGCCACCGCUUACCAGCUGCAUGCUAAUGCGUAUGCUAGCUAUUCUGGCUAUCCAGUUGCAGGCUAUGCACAACCUAGCUAUCCUGGCACGUACGCUGCACCUCAGCAGCACCCAGUAGCCAGUGGCGCGGCUACUGAUACCACAAGCGUGUACGGUGCCGCUGGCAGCACGGGAUAUCCUGCUGCACCGGUUCAGGCAAGCAGCGGGGCUGCUAACGCGGGGCAAGCGGCGCCGCCAGCUUCUUAUCCUGCAACAUAUGACCCAACCAAAGCAGCCCAGAGGUGA
rnacentral:rRNA from 1 species